CCUACGGGAGGCAGCAGUGAGGAAUAUUGGUCAAUGGACGAGAGUCUGAACCAGCCAAGUAGCGUGAAGGAUGACUGCCCUAUGGGUUGUAAACUUCUUUUAUAAAGGAAUAAAACGAGGCACGUGUGCCUUUUUGCAUGUACUUUAUGAAUAAGGAUCGGCUAACUCCAUGCCAGCAGCCGCGGUAAUACGGAGGAUCCGAGCGUUAUCCGGAUUUAUUGGGUUUAAAGGGAGCGUAGGUGGGUUGUUAAGUCAGUUGUGAAAGUUUGCGGCUCAACCGUAAAAUUGCAAUUGAUACUGGCAGACUUGAGUACAUUUGAGGUAGGCGGAAUGCGUGGUGUAGCGGUGAAAUGCAUAGAUAUCACGAAGAACCCCGAUUGCGAAGGCAGCUUACUAAGCUAUGACUGACAUUGAUGCACGAAAGUGUGGGGAUCAAACAGGAUUAGAUACCCUGGUAGUC
rnacentral:rRNA from 1 species